ensembl:lncRNA
UGACUGUAAUUCAAAUGUGGCUUUUUUAUUUAUUAUUACUGUUGAGAGGCAUACAUUACAGUGCAAACCAUUCUUUGGCAAAGGUACAAUACAACUGUCAUGACAGGCACUAGGUUGUCCACAAUGACCACUGGUUAGGACAGUGUAGGUAACACACGUUCAGUACUGCAGGGCAGUGCGCUCCACUGACACUGGGAACCUUUUCAAGGGGAAAUAAAAAGAGGGACUCACAAAUACACACAUCUAUCAACACACACAGACGGGUAACGCAAAGAGCUCACAGAGCUUCGGGGCGCAAGCCAAAGCUAGUAGCUGUGACCGAGACACGGGGACACGAACACACAGUAACAUGGUGCUGCAGGAGAAGGAGACACCACUGUAAACACAGUUCGUCCAGUAUGAGGUGAUACUGUUUACCAGUGUGACUGUUGGUGCUCUGACAUCUUUACUGUCACCGAUCAGCCCCUCAGCUCGCAGGAUGUUACCACUGAAGAAGAAAACACAGGAAAGGAAAACUGCACACGCUCCGACACAAUCGGAGGAAAACAGGAAGACGAGAUCGGGAAUUGUGUCGCACGGAGCGAGUCAGUGCACGGAGAGUACGAGGAGUACAGUACGUGUGAAAGGCGGUAAAUCGGUCUGACAAACAGCCCCCCCGACCCUGAGCGCCCCUCCCCCAACAUCACUUCCUCUCUCAUAUGGCUUCAAUUAUGAAGGAAUGAGGGUCAGAGGCCCGCGCCACACAUGCUCGGCUACAUGGCGUCAUCCUCCAUAUCUCAGAGCAUUCCUAACCUAUAUAAACACCCAACGGGGGGGGGGGGGGGGCGAGGAGGGGGGCUGCUGGACAAAGGAAUGCAAGCGUGUCCUUGGACCGAGAGAGCUGCAGAGCAGAGCUGCUCGCAGUCCUCCAACGGUGUCGUCGGCGCCAGCGGAGCCGCAGGCUGUGACCCCGCCCCCCCCAGCACCUCUCACUUUAUUCUUUUAAACUGGAUCUAAACAACUUUUAGCCAAACUGUCCAUAAAUGCACAAACUGGCAGCAAUAUUUCUGCUACUUAUUAGAGCACUAAGUCUAUUAUGGACAGCAGCCAUUUCUGUUAUAUUUCAGCUGUUCAUUGUUUGUCACGCUGACCCUCAGUGUUACCUUUAAAUGUGCAGCUUUAUAACUGUAAUCAAGAGAAAGGAAAGUUUCUCUGUUUUUCAUAUCAGGGCAAAAUAAAGUCUGUAAAAUGAGGAAAAUACGACCUGGAAUAAGCGACACAUUAAUUCAUUAUUCAUGCAGACGGCGUGUAUGCGAGUCCAGCCUGUGAUUCAUGGAGGAGCACUGGAAGUUUCCUGUGUGACCGCCUCAGUCGGUCUCUCCACUGUGAGGUUUCAGCAUCUUUGGAGUUCAUGGUCCAGCUAUUAGGUUGGUGGACAAACAUCUGCCCUCUGUUCAGCUUCCAAACGACCCACGCUUGUUCUGUUUUCUUCUGCUUGUCGUGACCUUUAACCUUUCACAUGCUAGCUGAGUUUGAGCCGGAACUCUUGGGUCUGACCUCACGGUGAAUUUUCUAGGACGUCCACUGCUGUGAAGAUCCAGACCUGCAAACUGACACAGCUCCUGCUUUUAUAGAGGCGCUGGUGAUGAUGACGAUGAUGAUGAUUAAUUAAUCAAUGCAUCUGAUUGGCAGCUCCACGCUGACGCUGACUCCUGCAGAAGCAUUAAGAGUGGACUCGGUUUAUCACGUUGUUUCUGCAUUUUGCAUUAGCGUCUGCAGAAUAGAUGAUAACAGGUUGUGUUAACCUCAUUCAGACACCUGGGGCCCGUUCUUCGUACGUCGCUUACUACAUCCAAGAUCAAAUGACACAUCCAAGAUCAAAUCAUCGCGCUAACCGUGAGCUCGCUAAUCCGGUUCCCCGAACACACCUGCUGUUGACGAUUAGUAUAGCUGGAUGAAGGAAUGUGACAUCACUGGGUGUCGUAAAAGGGGCUACGCAUCGAUAGUAGAAACAUUGAUCGGCAACCCGCUGAUUGGUCGGCGAAAAUGUCGAAGGAGCGCGCUCGGUAUUUUUCGGCAGCAGAGCAAGAACUCUUGAGUGAGGGAUUUCAGGAGUUUCAGAGUUUAAUUAAAACGCAAGGGAACACUGCAAAGGCUGCAAAAGCAAGGAGCGAGGGCUGGCAGAAAGUUGCUGACAAAUCAAACUCGUAAGUAAUUUAAUAAUAACAAUAAUAAUGGAGUGGAUUUAUAUAGCGCUUUUCAAGGCACCCAAAGCGCUUUACAAUGCCACUAUUCAUUCACUCUCACAUUCACACACUGGUGGAGGCAGCUACGGUUGUAGCCACAGCUGCCCUGGGGCAGACUGACAGAAGCCAGGCUGCCAUAUUGCGCCAUCGGCCCCUCUGGCCAACACCAGUAGGCGGUAGGGUAGAUUUAUCAUAUCACACCAUAUUAUCCAAUAUUAUAUUACAUUAUAUUAUAUUAUAAUAUGUUAUAUUAUAUCCCCUUUCACAUUAGAGCCACAACAGGACCCACUAGAACAUGGGAACAAGUAAAAGUGAAAUAUAAGAAUAUUCCACAGAAUGGUAAUAUUUAUCACUUAUAUUGCUUGUCGUCUCUUGGAAAGAGACCCUGGAAUAAUCUGUUUGUUUGUUCAUAACAGCAACCAAGAAAAGGGCAGAGCAAAAAAAAAGACAGGUGGUGGUCCUGCACCCCCUCGUCAACAAGUUGGUUAAGUGAAUAAUACCCUCACGGGAAAAUCGAUAUCUCUCUAUGAGCACACUGUCGCGCUGAGCUAAAGGAUCCUGUCUGUCCCGCAAUAUACGCUGAAUUCUGAAAACUCUCCUUAUCAAUCUUGCACCUUCCGCAAUGGGUUGCUCGCGUAAACGGACAGGAUAUGACUGCGACAGACUUCCCAAAUCCACCUUCGCUUUUAUAGCCGUGGUCUCUCAUCUUGAUUACACGAAGUAAUUUACAAUUACUACUCUGAAAUAUGAAUUACAUCUGUAAUAAUCACAUACAUGUAAUAGAAUGUUAAUAGUACAUUUCCCUUUUUUAGGGAAUGACC